GGAUUAGAUACCCUGGUAGUCCAUGCCGUAAACGAUGUGUGCUAGACGUUGGAAACAUAGUUUUCAGUGUCGCAGCGAAAGCAUUAAGCACACCGCCUGGGGAGUACGACCGCAAGGUUAAAACUCAAAUGAAUUGACGGGGGCCCGCACAAGCAGUGGAGCAUGUGGUUUAAUUCGAAGAUACGCGCAGAACCUUACCAACACUUGACAUGUUCGUCGCGACUCUAAGAGAUUAGAGUUUUCGGUUCGGCCGGACGAAACACAGGUGCUGCAUGGCUGUCGUCAGCUCGUGCUG
rnacentral:rRNA from 1 species